GAUGAACGCUGGCGGCGUGCCUAAUACAUGCAAGUCGAGAGAACGGACGAGAAGCUUUCUUCUCUGAUGUUAGCGGCGGACGGGUGAGUAACACGUGGAUAACCUACCUAUAAGACUGGGAUAACUUCGGGAAACCGGAGCUAAUACCGGAUGAUAUUUUGAACCGCAUGGUUCAAAAGUGAAAGACGGUCUUGCUGUCACUUAUAGAUGGAUCCGCGCUGCAUUAGCUAGUUGGUAAGGUAACGGCUUACCAAGGCAACGAUGCAUAGCCGACCUGAGAGGGUGAUCGGCCACACUGGAACUGAGACACGGUCCAGACUCCUACGGGAGGCAGCAGUAGGGAAUCUUCCGCAAUGGGCGAAAGCCUGACGGAGCAACGCCGCGUGAGUGAUGAAGGUCUUCGGAUCGUAAAACUCUGUUAUUAGGGAAGAACAUAUGUGUAAGUAACUGUGCACAUCUUGACGGUACCUAAUCAGAAAGCCACGGCUAACUACGUG
rnacentral:rRNA from 1 species